rnacentral:tRNA from 1 species
AAAAUCCCUUGAUUUUUUAAAUCCUGAGGGGUCAAAUCCCUCUAUCCCCA